CCUACGGGAGGCAGCAGUGGGGAAUAUUGGCACAAUGGGCGAAAGCCUGAUCCAGCAAUGCCGCGUGAGUGAAGAAGGCCUUCGGGUUGUAAAGCUCUUUUACCCGGGAAGAUAAUGACUGUACCGGGAGAAUAAGCCCCGGCUAACUCCGUGCCAGCAGCCGCGGUAAUACGGAGGGGGCUAGCGUUGUUCGGAAUUACUGGGCGUAAAGCGUACGUAGGCGGCUUUGUAAGUCAGAGGUGAAAGCCCACGACUCAAUCGUGGAACUGCCUUUGAGACUGCUUCGCUUGAAGAUGGGAGAGGUUAGUGGAAUUCCGAGUGUAGAGGUGAAAUUCGUAGAUAUUCGGAAGAACACCAGUGGCGAAGGCGGCUAACUGGACCAUUCUUGACGCUGAGGUACGAAAGCGUGGGGAGCAAACAGGAUUAGAUACCCUGGUAGUCCACGCCGUAAACGAUGAUAACUAGCUGUCGGGGCUCUUGGAGCUUCGGUGGCGCAGCUAACGCAUUAAGUUAUCCGCCUGGGGAGUACGGCCGCAAGGUUAAAACUCAAAUGAAUUGACGG
rnacentral:rRNA from 1 species